rnacentral:rRNA from 1 species
UGGGGAAUAUUUCACAAUGGGCGCAAGCCUGAUGCAGCCAUGCCGCGUGUGUGAAGAAGGCCUUCGGGUUGUAAAGCACUUUCAGCGGGGAGGAAGGCGUUAAGGUUAAUAACCUUGGCGAUUGACGUUACCCGCAGAAGAAGCACCGGCUAACUCCGUGCCAGCAGCCGCGGUAACCCGGAGGGUGCAAGCGUUGAUCGGAAUUACUGGGCGUAAAGUGCACGCAGGCGGUUUGUUAAGUCAGGUGUGAAAUCCCCGGGCUCAACCUGGGAACUGCAUCGGAUACGGGCAAGCUGGAGUCACGUAGAGGGGGGUAGAAUUCCAGGUGUAGCGGUGAAAGGCGUAGAAAUAUGGAGGAAAACCGGUGGGGAAGGCGGCCCCCUGGACGAAGACUGACGCUCAGGUGCGAAAGCGUGGGGAGCAAACAGG